AGGUGUGAUCAUACCAGCACUAAUGCACCGGAUCCCAUCAGAACUCAUCAGCUAAGCGUGCUUGGGCGAGAGUAGUACUAGGAUGGGUUACCUCCUGGGAAGUCCUCGUGUAGCACUUC
rfam:Phaseolus vulgaris cultivar G19833 chromosome 6, whole genome shotgun sequence.